UACGUAGGGUGCGAGCGUUGUCCGGAAUUAGUUGGGCGUAAAGGGCUCGUAGGCGGUUUGUCGCGUCGGGAGUGAAAUUCCACUUGGCUUAAACUGGUGGCUUGCUUUCGAAUACGGGGCAGAACUGGAGGUAUGCAGGGGAGAACGGAAUUCCUGGUGUAGGCGGUGAAAUGCGCAGAUAUCAGGAGGAACACCGGUGGCGAAGGCGGUUCUCUGGGGCAGUAACUGACGCUGGAGGAGCGAAAAGCGUGGGGAGCGAACAGGA
rnacentral:rRNA from 1 species